AUAACCAGCCACGAGCAUUACAAGUCAAGGUUUUAGAAAAGUUUGUAAGGACGACUGUGCGUGGCUCCGCUAGGUACCGCCGCCAUCACGCCUGCGCAGCGCACAAGCAGACGACGCGCAAGCACGAGAGAGCGCAUAGAAACGCAAACUUUACAACCGCAGCGGAGCAGCGAUGUCGCACCUUUAUUGCUGCGCGAAGUGGUGCAAUUCCUCGGGGAAAGAAGGUGCACACUUCUUCAGGAUCCCUGCUGACCACAGGUAUUUAUACGUUCACUAUUAUAUAUUUCCCAAGAUGUUCACAAAGUUUUGAUUUGGUUGUCGUUGACCGUUAUGAUUUGAAACUGCUGAAUGAACAACGAAUUUACUUGCUGCCAUUCGUUGCUGCGGCUAUCUGUUUGAGAAAUGGUUACGAUAAUAAGAUUAAAUUAGUGGACGAGCUGCAAUUUGUGGCUCGACGCGGCGUCACCUCUCAAAAGCGGAGCUGUUCGCUAGUUAUGGUCGCUCACGUUAGUAUAUAUGUGCGUGCAUCACUGUAUGACGUUACCUCAAUCUUAUGAAAGCUAACCAACUCGGAUUAGCGUGUCAUACAACCGUGUCUUCAGAGUGUUUUUGUUACGUGUUAGUUUAACUUGCGUGCUAUAGUAACAUUAUAACGAAGUGGGAUACUUGUUGUGCUCACUGCAGCUGUUUUUUUAAGCGCUUUAAUGCGUGCGUAUACAUUUAAUACAUCCGUGUAGUUUAUGAGUGGUGUUCGUAGCCGACGAAAGUAUCGCUCGCAAAGUUAUUGCGGAGGCCCCAGUAGCUAACUUGGGACACUGCCUGUUGUAUUUCUAUUUUGUUUCCAUUUGUAUUUGUUGAACGUCACGUGCGCAGUCCAGACGCUUUUCCAGGAAAGCACCACAACUCCUCGUCUGCCGGCAUCAAGGGUCUGAAACCGUGAUACCGCGCCCCACCUCCGCUAACAUUGCCUCGGCGGGGCAACCUUUGACCGCGGUGUUGACGGAAGAAGAGCAGUGCGUCGCUCCGCGUGUGCUGUGCUUGUGAGGGUGGUGUGCGGUUACGUCGGCAGGAGGGGACGAACUGCGUGCCUGCGUGUUUUGAGAGUUUUUCAUUUCAAACCAAAUUUGAGUUUUGUCUUUAUUCAGUCGUUCACACUGCCCUCAGUUUCGAAUGUGUGCGGUGUUGCACAAGCGAAAACCACCGCGUUCCUCAUCCGUGUGUCUGUUUACAUACCGACCGCCUGCUCGGAGUUUUGUCGCCGUAAAUUGUCCUCAUUCCUUCCCUUCGGCGCACCUUGUCGCGCUGCUCGACUGGGGGCCUAGAACCAAACGCGAUACCCCUCUGCCCCUUCUCGCUCUCGGGAAGCUCCCGGAAACAGUUUCGCCUACCUCUUCAUUACUCCCUCGUUAUUCUUCCAACGGGCAAAGGCAUGACCAAGGUCGGUUUUGGAUGUUCAGGAAACAGGCCGCGCUUAUCGCGCGGGGCCACUUUUUUUUCCCUCUCUAAUCUGGACCCCCCCCCCCCCCCGCCGACCUUUUACUUUUCUGUAUUUUUUUUUUCAAUGCGCUGUUUCCGCUUAGCGUCUACACACCUUAAUUCCUUAUAAGCUUACCAUAUCGUUUCGACUCGCAAAAGCAGGGGGAAAACAAGAGCUCUAUCGAGUUGUGUUUCAUAUAUCAAGUUUUAAUUCAGAGAACAUUGUCAGGAUGCAUGCAGCUCUCUGGCGCAGCGUUGGCUCAUUGAUGCGCGUUACAAUCGGAAUACGCCCAUCAACACUUACGCUCCUUCCAAACAGUUGGAAGCAAAAUCAGUCAUUACCUAAAGAGCAAUCUAAGCACAAAGAGAAAUGGUAACCUCAAGUCUUUUGAUGAUUUUCGCUUGUUCAUUGAAGCAAGACGAAGAUUAAAUUCAUGGUUUUCACUGUCUGGCAGAGUAACACAGGACUUUGCACGCCAUGGCAUAUUUUUUAUUAUUUUUUCUGUGUCCUGAUAAAGUUGCUUUCAAGUAUAUGUUAUUGUCUUUUCGUCUUCCUUCACCAUAGAAAAAUAUGUGACCAUUUGAUGUUCAUUUUAUAAGAAGAAACAAUAUCUAUCAGCUCUUAAUAUGCAUAUGCCUGUUAUUUCAGAUUUUCAGCCUGGCUGACAUAUGCCAACCGGCCGGAGCUGCUUCAGCUUGCAAGAGAAAAAGUAAACAAGAGCUACAGGCUGUGCUCUAAGCAUUUCACAAGGGACAGCUUCACCAGUGACACCUGCACAAGGCUGACACGUGAAGCUGUCCCUUCAGUGAAAGUGAAGGAGCCUCACCUGAAGGCUCUGGUGCACCCAGAUUUUUACGAUGAACAGGCGGCACAUGGCUCUGGUUCCACCACAGCACCAAAGCCCACCAUGAGCACUGCAACAACGUUGCUUGGGCACGGGCAUGACUACUGCUUCAUGCCACCUCAAAGUGGAGAGCCAGGGAACAUUCUUUGUGAAGAACCUGCGCUCCAGGAUGAAGACAACCAGUAUGCUGCAAGCAAGUUGCCGUCCCCUGCUGCUGAGA
rnacentral:lncRNA from 1 species